CGGGACUCUUACGAGGCCUCGUAAUCGGAAUGAGUACACUUUAAAUACUUUAACGAGGAACAAUUGGAGGGCAAGUCUGGUGCCAGCAGCCGCGGUAACUCCAGCUCCAAUAGCGUAUACUAAAUUUGUUGCGGUUAAAAAGCUCGUAGUUGCAUUUGUGCGCCGCACUGCCGGUGCACCGCUCACGCGGUGAUACUGGCACGUCUGCGGAGCAUAUCGUCGGUGAGCCGCUGGUAAAACGGCGGUUCAAUAUCAAAAUCCUAUCGCGGUGCUCUUCAGUGAGUGUCGAGGUGGGCCGACAAUUUUACUUUGAACAAAUUAGAGUGCUCAAAGCGGGCUCAAAAUGCUGCUUGAAUAUUUCGUGCAUGGAAUAAUAGAAUAUGAUCUCGGUUCUAUUUUGUUGGUUUUCAGAACUCCGAGGUAAUGAUUAAUAGGGAUAACUGGGGGCAUUCGUAUUGCGACGUUAGAGGUGAAAUUCUUGGAUCGUCGCAAGACGAACAUCAGCGAAAGCAUUUGCCAAAGGUGUUUUCAUCAAUCAAGAACGAAAGUUAGAGGUUCGAAGGCGAUUAGAUACCGCCCUAGUUCUAACCGUAAAUAUGUCAUCUAGCGAUCCGCCGACGUUACUACAAUGGCUCGGCGGGCAGCUUCCGGGAAACCAAAGAUUUUGGACUCCGGGGGGAGUAUGGUUGCAAAGCUGAAACUUAAAGGAA
rnacentral:rRNA from 1 species